UUCCUGUACUUGGUGUUACUGCGAAGGGGGGACGGAGAAGGCUAUGUUGGCCGGGCGACGGUUGUCCCGGUUUAAGCGUGUAGGCUGGUUUUCCAGGCAAAUCCGGAAAAUCAAGGCUGAGGCGUGAUGACGAGGCACUACGGUGCUGAAGCAACAAAUGCCCUGCUUCCAGGAAAAGCCUCUAAGCAUCAGGUAACAUCAAAUCGUACCCCAAACCGACACAGGUGGUCAGGUAGAGAAUACCAAGGCGCUUGAGAGAACUCGGGUGAAGGAACUAGGCAAAAUGGUGCCGUAACUUCGGGAUAAGGCACGCUGAUAUGUAGGUGAAGCGACUUGCUCGUGGAGCUGAAAUCAGUCGAAGAUACCAGCUGGCUGCAACUGUUUGUUAAAAACACAGCACUGUGCAAACACGAAAGUGGACGUAUACGGUGUGACGCCUCCCCGGUGCCGGAAGGUUAAUUGAUGGGGUCAGCGCAAGCGAAGCUCUUGAUCGAAGCCCCGGUAAACGGCGGCCGUAACGAUAACGGUCCUAAGGUAGCGAAAUUCCUUGUCGGGUAAGUUCCGACCUGCACGAAUGGCGUAAUGAUGGCCAGGCUGUCUCCACCCGAGACUCAGUGAAAUUGAACUCGCUGUGAAGAUGCAGUGUACCCGCGGCAAGACGGAAAGACCCCGUGAACCUUUACUAUAGCUUGACACUGAACAUGAGCCUUGAUGUGUAGGAUAGGUGGGAGGCUUUGAAGUGUGGACGCCAGUCUGCAUGGAGCCGACCUUGAAAUACCACCCUUUAAUGUUUGAUGUUCUAACGUGGACCCGUGAUCCGGGUUGCGGACAGUGUCUGGUGGGUAGUUUGACUGGGGCGGUCUCCUCCUAAAGAGUAACGGAGGAGCACGAAGGUUGGCUAAUCCUGGUCGGACAUCAGGAGGUUAGUGCAAUGGCAUAAGCCAGCUUGACUGCGAGCGUGACGGCGCGAGCAGGUGCGAAAGCAGGUCAUAGUGAUCCGGUGGUUCUGAAUGGAAGGGCCAUCGCUCAACGGAUAAAAGGUACUCCGGGGAUAACAGGCUGAUACCGCCCAAGAGUUCAUAUCGACGGCGGUGUUUGGCACCUCGAUGUCGGCUCAUCACAUCCUGGAGCUGAAGUAGGUCCCAAGGGUAUGGCUGUUCGCCAUUUAAAGUGGUACGCGAGCUGGGUUUAGAACGUCGUGAGACAGUUCGGUCCCUAUCUGCCGUGGGCGCUGGAGAACUGAGGGGGGCUGCUCCUAGUACGAGAGGACCGGAGUGGACGCAUCACUGGUGUUCGGGUUGUCAUGCCAAUGGCACUGCCCGGUAGCUAAAUGCGGAAGAGAUAAGUGCUGAAAGCAUCUAAGCACGAAACUCGCCCCGAGAUGAGUUCUCCCUGACUCCUUGAGAGUCCUGAAGGAACGUUGAAGGCGACGACGUUGAUAGGCCGGGUGUGUAAGCGCAGCGAUGCGUU
rnacentral:rRNA from 1 species